rnacentral:rRNA from 1 species
CCAAGUUUUUAAGGGCGCACGGUGGAUGCCUUGGCACCAGGAACCGAUGAAGGACGUGGGAGGCCGCGAUAGGCCCCGGGGAGCUGUCAACCGAGCUUUGAUCCGGGGGUGUCCGAAUGGGGAAACCCGGCAGUCGUCAUGGGCUGUCACCCGCUGCUGAACACAUAGGCAGUGUGGAGGGAACGCGGGGAAGUGAAACAUCUCAGUACCCGCAGGAAGAGAAAACAACCGUGAUUCCGGGAGUAGUGGCGAGCGAAACUGGAUGAGGCCAAACCGUAUGUGUGUGAUACCCGGCAGGGGUUGCGCAUGCGGGGUUGUGGGAUCUCUCUUUCAUGGUCUGCCGGCCAUGAGACGAGUCAGAAACCGUUGAUGUAGGCGAAGGACAUGCGAAAGGUCCGGCGUAGAGGGUAAGACCCCCGUAGCUGAAACAUUAGCGGCUCGUUUGAGAGACACCCAAGUAGCACGGGGCCCGAGAAAUCCCGUGUGAAUCUGGCGGGACCACCCGCUAAGCCUAAAUAUUCCCUGGUGACCGAUAGCGGAUAGUACCGUGAGGGAAUGGUGAAAAGUACCGCGGGAGCGGAGUGAAAUAGUACCUGAAACCGUGUGCCUACAAGCCGUGGGAGCGUCGCGUUGCAUGCUUGCAUGCAACGUCGUGACUGCGUGCCUUUUGAAGAAUGAGCCUGCGAGUUUGCGGUGUGUUGCGAGGUUAACCCGUGUGGGGAAGCCGUAGCGAAAGCGAGUCCGAAUAGGGCGGUUUAGUAGCGCGCUCAAGACCCGAAGCGGAGUGAUCUAGCCAUGGGCAGGUUGAAGCGGAGGUAAGACUUCGUGGAGGACCGAACCCACCAGGGUUGAAAACCUGGGGGAUGACCUGUGGUUAGGGGUGAAAGGCCAAUCAAACUCCGUGAUAGCUGGUUCUCCCCGAAAUGCAUUUAGGUGCAGCGUCGUGUGUUUCUUGCCGGAGGUAGAGCACUGGAUAGGCGAUGGGCCCUACCGGGUUACUGACCUUAGCCAAACUCCGAAUGCCGGUAAGUGAGAGCGCGGCAGUGAGACUGUGGGGGAUAAGCUCCAUGGUCGAGAGGGAAACAGCCCAGAGCAUCGACUAAGGCCCCUAAGCGUACGCUAAGUGGGAAAGGAUGUGGAGUCGCAGAGACAACCAGGAGGUUGGCUUAGAAGCAGCCACCCUUGAAAGAGUGCGUAAUAGCUCACUGGUCAAGUGAUUCCGCGCCGACAAUGUAGCGGGGCUCAAGCGUACCGCCGAAGUCGUGUCAUUGCAGUAGAUACCCCCAACGGGGACUGUGAUGGGUAGGGGAGCGUCGUGUGCCGGGUGAAGCAGCCGCGGAAGCGAGUUGUGGACGGUUCACGAGUGAGAAUGCAGGCAUGAGUAGCGAUACACACGUGGGAAACGUGUGCGCCGAUUGACUAAGGGUUCCUGGGUCAAGCUGAUCUGCCCAGGGUAAGUCGGGACCUAAGGCGAGGCCGACAGGCGUAGUCGAUGGACAACCGGUUGAUAUUCCGGUACCCGCUUUGAAACGCCCAAUAUCGAAUCCAUUAAUGCUAAGGCCGUGAAGCCGCCCUGGAUCCUUCGGGUGAAGGGGAGUGGUGGAGCCGCUGACCCAAGGUGGUAGUAGGUAAGCGAUGGGGUGACGCAGGAAGGUAGUCCAGCCCGGGCGGUGGUAGUCCCGGGGUAAGGGUGUAGGCCGUGUGAUAGGCAAAUCCGUCACACGUUAAGGCUGAGACCUGAUGCCGAGCCGAUUGUGGUGAAGUGGAUGAUCCUAUGCUGUCGAGAAAAGCCUCUAGCGAGUUUCAUGGCGGCCCGUACCCUAAACCGACUCAGGUGGUCAGGUAGAGAAUACCGAGGCGUUCGGGUGAACUAUGGUUAAGGAACUCGGCAAAAUGCCCCCGUAACUUCGGGAGAAGGGGGGCCACGUCUGGUGAUCGGAUUUACUCCGUGAGCUGGGUGUGGCCGCAGAGACCAGCGAGAAGCGACUGUUUACUAAAAACACAGGUCCGUGCGAAGCCGUAAGGCGAUGUAUACGGACUGACGCCUGCCCGGUGCUGGAACGUUAAGGGGACCGGUUAGCUUGGAUUCGUCCAGGCGAAGCUGAGAACUUAAGCGCCAGUAAACGGCGGUGGUAACUAUAACCAUCCUAAGGUAGCGAAAUUCCUUGUCGGGUAAGUUCCGACCUGCACGAAUGGCGUAACGACUUCUCGACUGUCUCAACCAUAGGCCCGGUGAAAUUGCACUACGAGUAAAGAUGCUCGUUUCGCGCAGCAGGACGGAAAGACCCCGGGACCUUUACUACAGCUUGAUAUUGGUGUUCGGUUCGGCUUGUGUAGGAUAGGUGGGAGACUGUGAAGCAUGCACGCCAGUGUGUGUGGAGUCGUCGUUGAAAUACCACUCUGGUCGUGCUGGAUGUCUAACCUGGGUCCGUGAUCCGGAUCAGGGACAGUGUCUGGUGGGUAGUUUAACUGGGGCGGUUGCCUCCUAAAGGGUAACGGAGGCGCCCAAAGGUUCCCUCAGCCUGGUUGGCAAUCAGGUGUUGAGUGUAAGUGCACAAGGGAGCUUGACUGUGAGACCGACGGGUCGAGCAGGGACGAAAGUCGGGACUAGUGAUCCGGCGGUGGCUUGUGGAAGCGCCGUCGCUCAACGGAUAAAAGGUACCCCGGGGAUAACAGGCUGAUCUUCCCCAAGAGUCCAUAUCGACGGGAUGGUUUGGCACCUCGAUGUCGGCUCGUCGCAUCCUGGGGCUGGAGUCGGUCCCAAGGGUUGGGCUGUUCGCCCAUUAAAGCGGUACGCGAGCUGGGUUUAGAACGUCGUGAGACAGUUCGGUCCCUAUCCGCUGUGCGCGUAGGAGUCUUGAGAAGGGCUGUCCCUAGUACGAGAGGACCGGGACGGACGAACCUCUGGUGUGCCAGUUGUUCUGCCAAGGGCAUGGCUGGUUGGCUACGUUCGGGAGGGAUAACCGCUGAAAGCAUCUAAGCGGGAAGCCUGCUUCGAGAUGAGGACUCCCACCCACUUGAUGGGGUAAGGCUCCCAGUAGACGACUGGGUUGAUAGGCCAGAUAUGGAAGCCGGGUAACCGGUGGAGUUGACUGGUACUAAUAGGCCGAGGGCUUGUCCUC